GCUGGGUGUGGUGGCUCACGCCUGUAAUCCCAGCACUUUGGGAGGCUGAGGUGGGUGGAUCACCUGAGGUCAGGAGUUCGAGACCAGCCUGGCCAACAUGGUGAAACCCCAUCUCUA
rfam:Pan troglodytes isolate Yerkes chimp pedigree #C0471 (Clint) chromosome 7, whole genome shotgun sequence.